rnacentral:rRNA from 1 species
GACGAACGCUGGCGGCGUGCUUAACACAUGCAAGUCGAACGGAAAGGCCCUGCUUUUGUGGGGUGCUCGAGUGGCGAACGGGUGAGUAACACGUGAGUAACCUGCCCUUGACUUUGGGAUAACUUCAGGAAACUGGGGCUAAUACCGGAUAGGAGCUCCUGCUGCAUGGUGGGGGUUGGAAAGUUUCGGCGGUUGGGGAUGGACUCGCGGCUUAUCAGCUUGUUGGUGGGGUAGUGGCUUACCAAGGCUUUGACGGGUAGCCGGCCUGGGAGGGUGACCGGCCACAUUGGGACUGAGAUACGGCCCAGACUCCUACGGGAGGCAGCAGUGGGGAAUAUUGCACAAUGAGCGGAAGCCUGAUGCAGCAACGCCGCGUGCGGGAUGACGGCCUUCGGGUUGUAAACCGCUUUCGCCUGUGACGAAGCGUGAGUGACGGUAAUGGGUAAAGAAGCACCGGCUAACUACGUG